UGGGAUUUGCACCCAGUACCAAGG
rnacentral:snRNA from 1 species